UGCCAGAUGAAAUAGAGAAUGCCUCGUUAAUGGUGAAUCAGAUCUGUGAAGGUGAACCCUCUGGGACUGGCUGUGGGAGAAGAGGGGCAUUUGCUCCAGAAGGAACUGUCUGAGGGAU